rnacentral:lncRNA from 1 species
GGUCGCACCAUUGCACUCCAGCCUAGACAACAAGACUGAAACUCCUUCUCAAAAAGAAAAGUUUGAAUUUUUACGGAAGUCAACGUUAGAAAAAUAUUAAUGCCCCAAAAUGUGUGGUAAACUAUAACUGUUUCUACAAUUUGGCAUUUUAGGACAUCAACACUAAGAAAAUAGAGAUUUUUGUAUUAGCAGCCUCUCUCACGCUCCCAAAUAGGUUACUGCAUCUUUAUAGUGGCUCACAACUUACACAGGAACUAAGAAUUUUGCCUAGGAAUUUGCCUAGAAAUUUAUUCCAAUACGUGAUAAUUCAUUUGUAUAGAAAUAACAAUAGAAGAGAUGCAAGGUUUUGUACUAAAAGUACACCUUUAUUAAAACAGUUUUGGUUGGAUUAAAGAUAAAAAUCCUGUCAAAGAAAUAUGACAGAAAAGCUAAUCAGUGGUUUCACCAAUUAAGAAAACUACUGAUAUGCAGAAGAGAAGGGCCUCUUCAGCUCCCCACAUGCCACUUCAGGGUUAGUGGGCAUGUGCUAUCAAUGCAUCUCUCCUUCUUUCUCCAUCACCUUAUUUUUGAAAUUUUUUAAUUAAUGAAGUCCUUUAAGUAUAAUGGAGCAGAAGAAUGUGGAUUAUAAAAACAGAGCUUUUGCAGAGACAAAAGUAAAAUUGAUGUACAUUUUCGGGUAGAAAUGUCUCUUGUUUCGUUCUUCUCAGAUUACAGGUGGAAAAACCAAGACACAAAGGAGGAGAGUUAUUAGCCUGAGGUCAAAAAGUAAGACAGCACCAAUACUAAAAAUAGACUCAGUCUCCUGACUUACACAUUUAUACUUUCUCCCUUUCAGGCCAUAAUACUUUGGUGUAAUAUGCAGCUUUAAAGAAAAAACUUAAACCAUUGCUGUUCAAUGGGAAGUAUUGUUUUCAGACUACAAGUUUACAAGACUUAAUAAAUCCAAUGAAUGAUAUUUAAAUUUUUAAACCACGCCUUUACCCAUUGUUGAGUUAGUUCAUCCUUCACCAUGAUCAACUCCGUAAGAGCAAGAGGUCUAUUGAUUUUCAUGUAAUACAAGAAAAUAUUACAUUUACUUGUUAUACAGUGAGCACAUCAGACAAGAAAUCAAGGCCCUGUUUAAUGCUGCAAGCAGCAGAGAAUUACAGAGAUCAAUAGGGUAGUUUGUCAAAGAUGUUCUCCAAGGACACUUACCUAUCACAUAUGGGCAAGAAGUCACACUGACUAUAGCUAUUGAAAAACAGGUAAGCAGAGUCAGCAGUACAAAUUAUCAGAAAUCAAACAGGGCAAUGAUUCAUCUUAAAGAAGCA